UUAUGGAGAGUUUGAUCCUGGCUCAGGACGAACGCUGGCGGCGUGCCUAAUACAUGCAAGUCGAGCGGAUCGAUGGGAGCUUGCUCCCUGAGAUCAGCGGCGGACGGGUGAGUAACACGUGGGUAACCUGCCUGUAAGACUGGGAUAACUCCGGGAAACCGGGGCUAAUACCGGAUAACACCUACCCCCGCAUGGGGGAAGGUUGAAAGGUGGCUUCGGCUAUCACUUACAGAUGGACCCGCGGCGCAUUAGCUAGUUGGUGAGGUAACGGCUCACCAAGGCGACGAUGCGUAGCCGACCUGAGAGGGUGAUCGGCCACACUGGGACUGAGACACGGCCCAGACUCCUACGGGAGGCAGCAGUAGGGAAUCUUCCGCAAUGGACGAAAGUCUGACGGAGCAACGCCGCGUGAGUGAAGAAGGUUUUCGGAUCGUAAAACUCUGUUGUUAGGGAAGAACAAGUGCCGUUC
rnacentral:rRNA from 1 species